rnacentral:rRNA from 1 species
CUCCUUUCUGAUGAACCGUAAUGCCAUUAAUAUGGUGUUACGGGGAAUUAGGACUGUUACCUUGAAAAAAUUAGAGUGUUUAAAGCAGGCUCACGCUUGAAUACAUUAGCAUGGAAUAAUGAAAUAGGACAUCCGAUUCUAUUUUGUUGGUUUCUAGGAUCGAUGUAAUGAUUAAUAGGGAUAGUUGGGGGCAUUAGUAUUCAAUUGUCAGAGGUGAAAUUCUUGGAUUUAUUGAAGACUAACUACUGCGAAAGCAUUUGCCAAGGAUGUUUUCAUUAAUCAAGAACGAAAGUUAGGGGAUCGAAGACGAUCAGAUACCGUCGUAGUCUUAACCAUAAACUAUGCCGACUAGGGAUCGGAUGAUGUUAAUUUUUUAAUGACUCAUUCGGCGCCUUACGGGAAACAAGGGCGA